ACAGUGUUGUGCAAGGGUUAUUAAUUAGUUUAAUAGAUGUUAUCAAAGCUCACCGAUAGACUUGACAGAGACCAGACAAAGGUUAGGACAAUGUCAGUUAGGUGUUUGUCUUGUAGAGAGACUGAUAUGUGGGUCGGGACAGACAUUAGCAAUGUUAGUUUAGGCGUAGGCUAGAUACUCAGCCUAUAUAGAGUAGAGUUUGGGGCAAUCGGGACACAACGCCAUGUAGUUUUAGCAGGGGCGUGUGUCGUAUGCUAGGCGUUUUCUGGUGAACGACACAUACAGACAUUGGGAGCAAGUCGCCGAGGUUGGCUCGCGAUCUUGGCUCCAAGAUGUGUGAGUUGUUUGCCAGAGACAACAUGUAGGAACUUUAAUUCUUAAGGACCAGGAGUGACAGUCUUGGCGACUGUCUGAGUCUUAGUGACAGUCUGACGGUCAGAGACGGUAGAUCUAUAUAUGGUGUAUCCUUGCCUGCUACGCAAGGGGAUAUCACUCUAGUAUUGAGCGGACUGUGACGUUGGGUUCCAGGAUCCGUGCAGAGACUAGAGAGAGAGAGAGAGAGAGAGAGACAAGAGAAAUGGAGAGUUCAUCGUGACCUACAGCCAAGUAUCAAUAUCUAUGUGAUUAUUAAAUUUUAAUUCUAGAAUCACAUGAGUAUUAUAUGUAAUUAUAGUUGUUAAUUAAAUAUUUAUUUUUCUUAUGAAAAUUUGUGUCCAGAGAUCAUGAUUUAUAUCAUUAUUGAAUAUUGUGGUCUUUAAUCCAUAGUAUUUUGUGAUGCGUGUGUUGUAUCAGUUAAAUUACAUCAGUAAGAAUCAUCCUAGACGUAUAGACAUCAAGAGCUGAUAUCAAGAUCUUGACAAUUGGGGCCUCGUCUAAAGUUUUAUUUUAAUUUUUUUACGACACUUUAAUGAUGUCUGGGGGCUAAUGAAUAACUGGGACCUGUUAUUUUUCUUUAAGUGAAAAUACUUUGGUUAUACUUGAUAUAGUAUUGACUUUUUUUUUUAUCCAGCAUAGUAUUGAGAAAAUUGUAUUUUGCUUGUAAAGGUUUGGACGAAUAUUCACUGCUUAGAAUUAGCAUUAAGUAGAGUUUCUGUUUACACUUUUACACUUGUUGUAAUACCAUGAUUGUAUUUUUCAAAAUUUUUUUUUUUCUACAUUUUGUUUUCUGCCUAUUUUUGUUGUGGUACAGGUGAAUUGGCUGUUUGGCAGUGGACGUCACACAUGAUCUAUUUUUAGACUGUCACUCCUGAUUCCUGCGCCCAUUGUCUUGGGGCCUUCGUGUAUCCACGGUUUGAGGGUAACGUAGUUAUCUUCAGCGCGUGUUUUUUCAAUGUUUAGGUAAGCUGUAUGAUGUAGUGAGAUAGGUGUAAGUUUUCUUGUUUUUAUUUUUGAUAGGGAGCUUAGGGAUUUCAUAGAGGUGGGAUAGAAAGAGGUGGACAUUAUUUUUAAAGCAUAAUUACUGCACUGGGCAGUGUUACAUUUAUACUGUGCUUAUACUGUGUUUUUUGCAGGCAGACAGGGGCGAGUUAUUGUUUGGAGAAGGUAGAAGGGGGUUGGACCUGUAUGUUCGCGUUGGGCAAACGUAUAGUGUCGUUGUCCUCAGUUAUUUUUUUUUUCUUGCUUUUUAGCUUGUUAAGUUUUGUAGAUGGUUAGCCAGGUGAGCAGUACUGUUGGCCAGUUGUUUUUUUUGUUGCCAUUUUGGUGUUUUGAUAGGCGGGAUAGGGGGUUUGAGAGACAGACAAUGGCGUUGGGUCAUGUAGUGUCUACCCCACCCAUGUAUUUUAGUAAUGCCUAUCAAACCUUGUAGUUGUUAAUGGAAGUUUUGGAAUUUCGUUUCCAGUGCCAUGCCAGAGGGCAGGGACAUUUGUUUUUCUUCUCCCUCUUAGUUGAGGUCGAGCGUUGAUUUUUUUUACCUGGUGUGUCCUUGUUGUACGGAUUCAUGGUAGUUAAGUCACAGGGUGACGUAAUGAUUUUUUGUUGUUGCGGCAAGAGUUGUUUUUUUUUACAGUGGGUCUCGAGUUUUGUUGGGCCUGGUUUCAGUUUUUGUAUGCCGUCUAUUUUUUUAUUUUUUUUUGCUUGAACGUGUUGAUGAUAGUUGGCUAUAGCUCUAUAUAGAAUAUCCGACAUUAGGUAUGUCGUGGAUUUUUUUAUUUCAGUGAGAUGUUGCUGUGUUGACAGAUCAUCAGUUUAUCAAGGUCAUUUGAUUAGUUUGUUCAACGUUUGAUAUUACUAAGAUGUUAAAGUUUAGGCCUGACGAGCUUGAAUUGGUAUUGAUUUUUUUUACAUAGAUUUUUUUUUUUUUUUUUUUUUUGUUGGCAAAUAUUUGAGCUUUAGCUGAGUUAUGGCGAUUAAUGUACACGCUAUCUAGAUAGCUCAGAAAAUUGGCGUUUAGGGACAUUUGUAUCCAAGGUGGAACAUGAGUUGUUUGUUGAAGAGUCAAGUGAGUCCUUCUAAUGGGGGAGGGUGCAUAACAGACACUGAAGUAAAUGACAAAGCGUUGUUUUUUUUCUACGACAUGUGUGAUGGACACUGGCAAUGAGUACAGCCAUUUUACCAAUUUCUAUUUUAUUGCAGGGAUGCUAAUGAAUUUUGUAUUUUCAUUUUAUUAUCAUUAUGUUUUAGUUACUUAUAGAUUGAAUUACACUGUUCUAUAUUUAGGUCGAUCAAUAAUAUGCAAGUGUAGCUUACAAUCAGAAAAAAAUUGUCCAUGAUUAGAUGAUAUCAUUUUUCUUUCUUUUAGUUUUAUUUUAAUUCGUGUUUUACUUGCACUCGAGAUUUGAUUGGCAGAAUUGCAUUUUCACUUUGAUGUAUAUUUUUUUUUGUAAAUCUACUUGCAGAGAUUCAUGACUAUAUUAUUUGAUGAUUAAAGUUGAAGUUUGUGACAGUUGCAGUGCAGAUAUAUGAGAUGGCGAUGUUCACAUGUUUGUUUUGAUUUUUUUUUCUUCUUAAUUACAACCACUUUGUUUAUGAUUUUAUAAUCUUAUUCCAGUGUGCUACAGUUGCCUAAAGACUUUGGUUAGCAAUGCUGCAUGUGUUCUAUAACAUUAUUUUUAUGUCUCAAUAUAGUUCCAGAAUUUGUUCUCCAAAUGUGAGAUGGUAGAGGCAGUUUAGUGAGUCGUAUUAGUGUGACUUUGGUUGCAAAUAUUGCAACAAAAGUCAAAGGAGAAGGGGAAGAUGUCACAGUGUUGUGCAAGGGUUAUUAAUUAGUUUAAUAGAUGUUAUCAAAGCUCACCGAUAGACUUGACAGAGACCAGACAAAGGUUAGGACAAUGUCAGUUAGGUGUUUGUCUUGUAGAGAGACUGAUAUGUGGGUCGGGACAGACAUUAGCAAUGUUAGUUUAGGCGUAGGCUAGAUACUCAGCCUAUAUAGAGUAGAGUUUGGGGCAAUCGGGACACAACGCCAUGUAGUUUUAGCAGGGGCGUGUGUCGUAUGCUAGGCGUUUUCUGGUGAACGACACAUACAGACAUUGGGAGCAAGUCGCCGAGGUUGGCUCGCGAUCUUGGCUCCAAGAUGUGUGAGUUGUUUGCCAGAGACAACAUGUAGGAACUUUAAUUCUUAAGGACCAGGGUAAGAAGAAAUGUUUUUAUUAGUUAUAUAUCUAGUAUUAGAUGUUAAUUGAUUAUGAAUAAAUAGAAUGGCGCUUUAGCUAGUUGUUAGCGAUAUUUUUGAUUAUUUGUCUAUUUAGAGUGACAGUCUUGGCGACUGUCUGAGUCUUAGUGACAGUCUGACGGUCAGAGACGGUAGAUCUAUAUAUGGUGUAUCCUUGCCUGCUACGCAAGGGGAUAUCACUCUAGUAUUGAGCGGACUGUGACGUUGGGUUCCAGGAUCCGUGCAGAGACUAGAGAGAGAGAGAGAGAGAGAGAGACAAGAGAAAUGGAGAGUUCAUCGUGACCUACAGCCAAGUAUCAAUAUCUAUGUGAUUAUUAAAUUUUAAUUCUAGAAUCACAUGAGUAUUAUAUGUAAUUAUAGUUGUUAAUUAAAUAUUUAUUUUUCUUAUGAAAA